rnacentral:misc_RNA from 1 species
UUGAGUCAGGAGUAAUAAUGA